rnacentral:misc_RNA from 1 species
GUGGGAGGGGGCUUGCUCCCGAUAGCGGCAGCUCAGUCACCUGAUUCAUCAACUGAUAGAUAGCUAUCGGGAGCAAGCCCCCUCCCAC